GAUGAACGCUGGCGGCGUGCUUAACACAUGCAAGUCGAACGGACUUUUAAUGAAGCCUAGCGAUUUAAAAGUUAGUGGCGGACGGGUGAGUAACGCGUGGGUAACCUGCCUUAUACAGGGGGGAUAACACUUAGAAAUAGGUGCUAAUACCGCAUAAGCGCACAGUAUCGCAUGAUACAGUGUGAAAAACUCCGGUGGUAUAAGAUGGGCUCGCGUCCGAUUAGAUAGUUGGUGAGGUAACGGCCCACCAAGGCGACGAUCAGUAGCCGACCUGAGAGGGUGACCGGCCACAUUGGGACUGAGACACGGCCCAAACUCCUACGGGAGGCAGCAGUGGGGAAUAUUGGGCAAUGGGCGAAAGCCUGACCCAGCGACGCCGCGUGCGGGAAGACGGUCUUCGGAUUGUAAACCGCUUUUAUUAGGGACGAUAAUGACGGUACCUAAUGAAUAAGCCACGGCUAACUACGUG
rnacentral:rRNA from 1 species